UACGGGGUUAACCCCCUCACAGUGCGAGACCUGCUGGGCGGAGGAGACUUCCCACGGAACACCCAGUUUGCCAUUGUAAAAGCUACGGUUGAAUACAUCAAGAGUACUGGACGCCUGAAUAAUCUCUGAAAGCUGAUCAAGACUGUCCUGGAACAAUAUAAUUCAAAUUAAGUAACCCAUUGAAAACCAUUUGAUAAAUCCAGGUGCAACAAGUGCCCUGUCGAGGGACAUUUAUGCAACCUCAAAACGGACUACAUACAUACUAUAUUAUGUCGAAAAUACCUAUUUGAAAAUUAGAUGUUGUGACCAUAGUAUGUGAUAAAAAGGAUUGCCAUAGCAGUUUAUGCUUGCAAUGGAAGGAGAUAACAAUUUUAGAACUGAAGUUCAAGAAGCCACUGAGGCAGUUGACAUUCUUCUCAGAACAGCUGCCAGCAACGAGAAGCAACUGAUGAACUUGGCCAGUCAUGUAAAGGGCGUGCAGGCUUUAACCAACAGAAUACAGACAGAAGUCAAAGUCUUACAGAGGGGUCUCCAGAGGCCAAAUUGGUUGAAAUUAGAACAUGUAAUAAGCAGCAACUUGCAUCACCU